AAGGUCUUAGCUUAAUUAAAGUGUCUGCUUUGCAUGCAGGUGAUGUGGGGUAGUAUCCCGCAGGUCUUA
rnacentral:tRNA from 1 species